rnacentral:rRNA from 1 species
UACGGGGGGGCGAAGCGUUGUUCGGAAUUAUUGGGCGUAAAGAGCUCGUAGGCGGUUUGUUGCGUCGGCUGUGAAAUCCCGAGGCUCAACCUCGGGUCUGCAGUCGAUACGAGCAAACUAGAGUGUUGCAGGGGAGACUGGAAUUCCUGGUGUAGCGGUGAAAUGCGCAGAUAUCAGGAGGAACACCGGUGGCGAAGGCGGGUCUCUGGGCGAA